ensembl:lncRNA
GUAAGUUUUCUUAUUUAAUUAGUCAAAUUGGACUUGCUAUAUUAUUUUGUUUUCAUGUCAAAAUAAUAAAAAUAUUUUAGAAAGAAAUUUUGUGAGCCAGGCGUGGUGGCGCACGCCUGUAAUCCCAGCACUCGGGAGGCUGAAGCAGGAGGAUCACUGCAAGUUCAGAUCAGAAGUCCGAGCUUCCUGGACGAAGAAGGAUACAGUGACCUCUUUUUGCUGGAGAGCAGAGAGAUCAGCCAGGCCUCUGCUAGACGCCUGGGAGGGUGGCUUUCACCGCCUCUCUCCCGAGAGAUCCCACGCGUCCUAUUUCAGGAGCGCCUGCACCAAGCGUGUUGUUAGAAUCUGAUUUCCACGGCGCUUUUCCUGCUAACACCUCAGGUCCUCCAAGCCCCUCCCUGUUCUAUUUCCGGAAGGUGUUUGUCUCCGGGACCCCGGGAGGGCUGGGGGCACAGCCCGCCCCGCCUGCAGUGCGGAGCCUCUGGCGAGCUGAGCUCCAGGGGAAGAGCAUUAUCCCCCACUGCUGUCGGCUGGGUGCCUGGGAGGACUCCGGGUCUGCAGUCCUGCUUGUCCUUUGUGCGUGGGGUGCCUCCUUGUACCCCCGGGGGGGCUGUGACUGUCCCCGCGGUGCAGGUCACCAAAGUGAAGCUGGGGCUCAGUGCGCAUAGCUGAGAGCAGCAGGGCGGAGGGAGGUGGGCCCUGAAAACAGAGCUGAAAGGCACCACCUUGCUCCGGAGUUUUGCUCCUGCACAGCUGAGAGGGCUGAGGAGGGGUGGGAGGCGGAGGACCUUUAGCACGGGCCCACGUGGAGGGCUGGGCCGCAGCUCGAGGAGGGCGUUUGCCUGGCGCGGUGAGGUCCUGGGUUCCAUCCCCAGGGCUGGAGGACAGGAGGGAUCCCCAAGUUUCAAACAGGGGCAGGGAUGGGGCCUGGAGCCCAUGGGGAGCCUCGGAGAGUCCAGGAGAGUGAGCGAGUGAUGGGGGAAUCUGGGGGGAGCCUCUGGCAGCCCCUGCCGGCUCACAUGGGCCCUGUGGCUGUCCCGGUCUGGCAGUACCCCAAACCUGGCUGUCGCAGGUCCCUGUGCUCGGGAGCGCGGCCUUCACUCUUCUCCUAGAGUUGCCUUCCUCCCUAAAACUGGAGAGGCAGGGUGUCCCCGAAUCCCUGGGGUGAGCUCUAGGGGUCCCCCGGAAGCCUCACUCCUUGUGUUCCCGUCCCGUGGCCCCUGUGACAAAUGACGGCAGACAUGGAGGCCCAAACCACACAGACUUGCUCCCCAGUCUGGAGCCCUGCUGAGCUGAAGCCUGCUACUUUCUAGAGGCAGAGGAGGAGGAGGAGGAUCCACUGCUCUGCCCCUCCCAGCUCCUGCAGUGCCUUCCCCGACUUCAGAACCCACUGUGCGAUCCCUUCUGUCUCUGUCUCUCUGCUCCCCUGUGGCUGGCUCACUGCCCCCUUCCAUGAGGAGACGCCCCUGGUGGGGUGCAGCCCGGAGGGGCCAGAUUCUGUCCCCAGCCCCACCAGGGAGAAGCUGCCUGCAGGGUCCUUAAUGAGUCAAGAGGCCCUGUGCCCUGCAGGAGACACAGCCCUGGGUGCUGAGGAUUAGGGCGCAGGGGUUUCGGGGGCCAGGGCCCGGCCUGACACCCUCUCCUGUGCUCCUCGCCACAGACCUUCUGGGAGACUCAUCCUGCUGAGGCCCAGGAACCCCAAGCCACUCCCCUGAAUGUCUCGGCGAUGGCGGCGUGGUCGGUUGGUCGGCCUUUCACAUUUCCCUGUGCUGCAUUUCUGAAACCUGUGUUUUGACGGUUCCCACUAAUGAGCUGGUUCAGCAGAUUCUUUCCCCCUAAAUUGCAAAGACAACGUGACAGUUCAAAAAAACAGAACAAAGAACAUGACAUGUGGAGACGCAGAAAUGUCGAGGUGAGCCAGGCCAUUGUGCUUCUGGUGGCACUGACAUCCAGGGUCACUCCUGAUGGCUGCACAGUUUCUGCUGUAACAUUCUCCUGGUGAUUCCUGUCCUCAUGCAUAGAAAGGUAUCUCUUAGCAAGGUCACACACACACACACACACACACACACACACACCCCUGCACACCAGCGUCUCACUGAGAAGGGCAAGAACCAGUGGCCGGCAGGUGGGCAGCAAUUAAAGCUCCAAAGGAACCAGAGGGCCCAGCAAGGAGCGCAGUGGGCCCUGUCCUCAUUCCGUCACUGGGGGACUCUGACACCAGAGCCAUGGACUCGGCUAAGCCAGAGCCUCUGCGGUUGCACGCAGAAGGAACCCUGAAAAUGCAAGGUGGCUCGGACGGCUCUGUCUACACCGCACACUGCAGAACUACGCAGUUGAAAGCAGCCCUCGCUGUUCUCCAGGAAGAACGGCUGGCAUCGAGGCUCUUUGUGGCCUGCGGCCUGUGCCAGGCAGGGUGCCGAGCCCUUCGCUAGGGGGUGGGCUCCUCGUAACAGUGCCGCCCGGUGCGCUCCAGGCCCUAGUUCCGUCCCCUGUGCCACGAACAAAAUGAAACCCCGAAACACUCGUGAAUCCUCUUCACCCAGUGAGGCGGGCACUACUGAUCCCACUGGGCAGAUGAGGAAACUGAGGCCAUGAGCUGUGGACCCCCUCACUCCAGGCUGUGAGCAGUGAACUACCAGGCUCCAGAUUCUGCCUAGAGAAGGGAGGAAGAUGAGAUGGAGGCACCAGCUCCGCAGUGAGCCUUCUUCUCAUUGGCCCUCAGCUCUGCCCCGUGCGGCUGCGUGUCGUGGGUGAACGCAACACUGCUGAUGCCACUGGAACCUCUCUGGAGACCCAAGCUCAGGUCAUGACCCCAGCGCUCACUCCGGGAGCGGAAUAUCUGAGUCCGACCCCAGUGUUUCCAGCACCCAGGAGAGGGCGGAAGUCACUUCCGUGGAUGCACAGCCCAAGGAGAGGCUGCAGGCCGAGUGGGGGGUGGAGAGCAGCACAGAGGCCAGGAGGGGCUCCGAAGGCUGGAGAGGAAGUGAGGACCCAGUCCAGACAGUGCAGAUCCCACGAAGUCGCCACGGACCAAGAGAAGACGGAAUCACAGGGCCGCGUGGUCAGGGGCCGGGGAAGUAGGGAGGGUGAGGAGGCCUCGGUGGGCUCAGGCAGCCAGGUGGCUGGAGGCGGCCGUGCCCCGAGGUGGGGACAGCGUCCAGGGCUGCAGGGGAGGUGGAGGCCCGGAGCGUGGAGCGGCAGCACAGACCUGGGCUGGCCGCGGGGUCGGGAGCAAGGCGGAGGAGGGUGACACUGAGAAGGGGCCCGGAGGCCAGGCGGGAGAGAGGCACAGCAGCGGCCGGCGAGGGUUUGCAGACAGGGGGCUGGGACAGUCCCUGAGGACACUGACUCUGGAGGUGACAGAAGAGGCCGCCGGGUGUCAGGGGCCUGGAGAAGGCUGCUGUGCCUCUGGAAGGGGAGGACGCCGGCUUCCUGGACGUGCGGUCUCUGGGACCGUGUGCUGGGGUCACCUCGGGGCUGGAAGGCAGAGAAGGCCUUCAGUGGGUGGGGUCGGGGGUUUGCAGCGAAGCCGUCCUUGGGCUGCCACAGGUGCCGCAGUCACGGGGAGGGGAGGAGAGGGGCAUGGGACAAGGCCAGGCCAGCUCGGGGCCUUGAGGUCCCUGGGGAGGGUGACGGGCGGGGGCGGGAGAGCUCGUCCAGGGCACAGUGCAGUCCGUGCCGGGCCUUGGGGUCUGCACUUUUGGUUGCAGUUUCUUUGCAGUCACUUGGGCUCCCUGCCCCCCAGCAUCUCCCACAGGCCAGGGGUCAGUGGGGAAUCAGUGGCCAAGCCGCCCCUCAGGAGUUUGGGGUUGUUUCAAGCACUCUGGUGCACGCCUGUAGUCCCGGCACUCGGGAGGCUGAGGCAGGAGGAUCACUGCAAGUUGGAGGCCAGUCUGGGCUGCACAAACGUGGGCAAGGUCGUCACCAAGGGCUGCCGAUACCUCGUCCUUGGCCUGCAGAGCUUUGCCGCUGCCUACUCCUCCCCGUUCGCAGUGGGCACCAGCGUGGUGUCCCUUGUGCGCUAGAGGACCCUGCGCCUUUCGGACUUGGACUCGCAGAGCACGAGCACUGAGCACCGGAUGAGAAGCUGCCUUCCUUGUUGGGUCGGAUGGGUCAAGCGCCAGCCAGCCUGCCGCCUCCAGCGGGCUGCCAGACACUGGCCUGAGGGGCCCACCUGGGGCCAGGGGAGUUGGUCCCUGGGACACUCAUCCUUCGGGGAAGGCGGCAGGGUGGGCUGGAGACUGAUUUGGGCAGGGUGGGCUGGAGACUGAUUUGAGCAGCGUGGGCAGCCGAUGGCCGCUCCAGAGCAGGAAUCUCCUGCACAGGGCGCGGGCUCCCGGGCCGCCCAGGGCCCUGGCUUCCUGACUUCUGAGGCUGAGCAAAGCAGCUGUUUAUUUCUCAAGUCAUUCUCUCCCACCCUGUCACUCCACCACUCUGUCAAGGGAGUUUCAUCACAGGCUCAGGAAGAGGGAGGGAGGGAGGGAAGGAAGGAAGGAAAGGACAGCCUCCCUUUGAAGGCGCUGAGGAUUGCCUCCUGCAUUCUCAGCUGGGCCACAGAAGGGGGAGGAAGCCUCUCCUCGGUGCCUGGACCCUGGGAGAGUGGGGGGCACAGGAAGCUGGGACGGGUGAGGAUUCAGAAGAGGAGCCAGAAAGUAGCAGACGGUUGGAGGAUGUGGAAGAGGGCAGGAAGGGUGUCAGAGGAGCAGCAGGGGCAGGUGGGGAAGUCCAGUGUCGGGGGGCCCAGGCAGCUGGGGCUGUAGUUCUGGGGGACCGGGGGGGCUGCCAGGGCCCAUGGCGGGGCUCGGCCCUCUGUGGCCCGCAGGCUCACACUCGGGUGUGGAGCGCCCUGUCCUGCCCUGUGCAACCAGCUGACGCGGACUCCCUGGAUCCCGAGGUUGGGGUGCUUGAGGUCCUGGCCCUGUCAGCGCAGCCUGCACUCUGAGUUGCUUGAGGGAGGUGGAGGGUGGAGAAGAUCCCUCUGCCCUCUGCUGACCCCUGCGACAGGCUGAGUUCCAGCUGUGCCCAGAAUAUCCAGAGGCCUGGAUGCUCCUGCCUCAGCCACCCAGCCCAGCCAGGGCCCGCCCGGGGGGGCAGGGAAGCCGUAGAGGGACGGAUGGAUGGAUGGGCUGGUGGAGAAAACGGUGACUGGAGGUGAGGUAGGGUAGAAGGAAUGAAGCCAGGGAAACGAGGCAAAGACCAGAAUUUUAAAAUUGUGUUUUUCAGAAAAACUUCAGCUUUAGGACACAAAAGUUGCUCAAGCCUUUUUUCCUUUCAGGAAACUCAAUUUUUUUUUUUUUUGGUACCGGGGAUUGAACUUGGGAACCACUGAGCUCAAUCCCCGGCCCAAGGAAACUCAAAUUAUUUAUCCCCAAGGGCCGUAAAGAUACAAUGAGCCUGUAAAUUGGGCUUCCAGGGGCCUGUAUUUUUUACUUUUUUUUUUUAGGACAGGGUCUCACCAUGGAGUUCAGGCCAGCCUUGGACUCAUUAAGCAACCCAGGCUGGCCCCGAAUUCAUGGAAAUCCUCCUGCCUCAGUGUCCAAGUGCUCGGAUUACAGCUGUGUGCCGCUGUGCCUGGAUUUUACUUGUUUACUAUACUUUCUCCCACAAACUUCUACCUUCAGGGAGGCAGCAGUGUUAGUGGGCGGUAGAUCCCAACUUCGGGCUUGUGGAAAUCGUGUUCUGAUGAGCAACGUGACAGACAGUAGCAACACACAUCCCAGGCACCCCUCUCGGCCCGCAGGCCCCAUAACUGCGCCCAGCUCCGACCAUAGGCACCCCCCCCCCUCCAGGACUCGCAGGCUGUGUGUGUCUUUCAAUGUACGCUUUUAAAAUGUUUGUCUAAUAAAUUCCUUCGUGCCUCUUCUAACAUGUCCUGAAAAUUCCUUUUCCAAGCUGGAGUCAGUAGGGGUACAGCUUAGUCCUCGGGUAAGGCUUGGGGGUCUCCCGGGACCCCAUGCUGCAUCACAGACACGGAUCCUGCGUUGGCCAGUGCUGCAGGUCAUGUGCACACAUGGGAGAUCACCGAGGGCAGAGUGUGGAGCAGAGAAGGACCUCAGGGCCCAGGGCCUGCUGGCCCCCUGAGGGAAGCAGGACCCCUGCACCAGGUCCCCCGGUGAGUAGGGUGUCGCCUGGGGAGGGGGCCAGGGACUUCCCUGCCCCCCAAGUUGGAAAAUCCGCAAAAUCAAGCACAUCUGGCCCUGAACUUCUGAAGGUCUGGUUAAGAAUUAACUCAGAAAUGUCACAAGUCAGAGGCUCGCGGGGCUUGUCCUGAGGAUCGGGCUCACAGAGAGGACUUCACCCAGCUCCCAGUGCCCAAGGGUCACCCCCACGGCAGGGCCGAGUGCUCCCUGCGCCUACCCCAUCAAGUAGCAGGUCGCCUUUUUACUUUGCUCUCUGAUCGUCAGUACCACGGCCGCUGCCCUCCUGGGAACCGAGUUCUAGAGCUCUCCCUUGGGCCCGUGGAGCACAGCUUCUUCCCUAUCCUUUCCUCGGCCUGUGAUGUGAACAAGCUCCAGCCUGGUCAGUGUUUCCGUGCCAAGGCUGUUUCUCCCUCACUUUCUUCCUUGCCUGGAAACCUGGUGCAGCAGGUGACAGCCAGGGACAGGUGGUGGAUAGAGGGGGACCGGCAGGGUCCACAGCUGCUCCCAGGGAGGAGCCCCUACUGGGCUGGUGGGAUGGGGUGAUCCUCUGGAAGCCUGAAGGGUAGGCUCCCAGGUGCAUGGGCCCACAGCCUGAGUCAGCUAAAACCGAGAGCCUUGGGUUGGGUUUGGAGUCCAGCAGGGGCCUGAGAGGUGAGGCUGUUCUCUGCAGGGCCCCAGUAGCGUCUGUCAGGGGACCCCUGGGAGGGCCUGGGCCAGCCGGUGUGUGCCGGGCCUGCCUCUCACAGAUGCUCAGGGCAGCCACAGGGGGGACUUGCAGCAGGGGAGAGGUGCUGGCCUGCUUUGCUGUGGACUGCGCAGUGUCCGUGUGGAGGGGACCUGGGCAGGGAGGGCUGGGGCUAGGACACUGAGAAUUCGCGCUGCCACUUUGCCCGCACUCCAUGGCCAUUUCUGCAGCUGCUGUUGCUGCUGCUGCUGGCUGGGAGUUUUGUCCCCCAGCCCAGCCACCCAUUGUUUACCCCCGGCCGGGGCCAAGUCCCAGGGCUGCAGGAAGUCACUCCGCACAAUAGCAGCCUCCCUGGCAUCCGACCUUCUGGCCAUGUGACCUUGGACGAGUUCCUCAGCAUCUUCAGAUUCCAGGGCUUGGCUCAGUGCCCUUUGUAGAGCAAACGGUGUUUACCUCCAAGGCCCACUCUUCAGAGCUAAGUAUGAAGGCUGCUGAGAACCAGGAGAAGAAGGCAGGGGUCAGGAAGCUGGCAUGGCGAUGCCGCUCCCCCUGCAGCCGGCCCCAGCUGAGGUCCCCCUCUGCGGUGACCCAAGGGCUGACCUCAGCCAAACUUCUCGGCCAGGCUACUCCUGCCCAGCAGGGACAGAGGUCCCACAGCACCAGACAGGAGUAAGCCCACGCCCACCUUCCCUCCUCACACUGACGGGUGUCUUUCCCCACGGGUUAAAGCACACAGAGGCGCUUCUCUGAGUCUGAAGAGCCCUUUGUGAGGCAUAAGCAGAGGCCUUGACCAUUUGCAACUUUGAUGACAACUUCUGUCACAACACAGGUGUCCUGAGAGACUGGCGAGGACAGCGCCCUGGGGACUGCGGCUCUGAUGUCCUGGCCUCCCUGGCUCCACCCCCUGCGGAAUCUCGUCUCUGGCCCCAGCUUUGGUUCCUGGCCUGGAAACCUGCCUGCUGUCCUCAGAGAUUUCAGCCUGUCUUGCGUUCCUUUGUCAGUAAAUUCUCUUAGUGCCCUGGCCUUGGAGGGAGGCAGGAGCCCCUGGAGCCCCCAGGUGGCUGGGGUGGGAGGGAAAGGAGAGGGAUGCGGCCUGCUGGAGGCCUGAUCUUCCCAGGCCGUCUGCUCUCCUUCCUUGGAACCUGAGGGUUGGGGCUGCAGGAGCCAGGCAGGCCGCUGAGGAGCUGAGGGCAAGGUGGGGUCUGGGGGUUGCUCACCGGAGCCCCAGAAAGGAGGGGCUGUGGGUGCUCAGCUCUGCUGGCCACCAGGCAGGGCGCCUCGCCCUGAGCCUUGCUUCCGAAGCUGAGUGCAUGUCUGCAGGGCAGACAGAAGGGUCAGCCCCCACCUCCCCCAGCAUGAGGAGCUCGGGUCAGACAGUUGGGCUGGGACCCAGAGAAGGCCUGGCCCGCAGGAGCCUCGGGACAAAGCUCGUGAGGCCUCCUGGGUCGUAACAGCACCGACCAGGACCGGGAGGCACACGCCACAGAGCCCCUGCCUUUGUGCAUUUAUUCCUUCCUCUGAUGCUGAGUUCGAGUCCUGGCUGUGUCUUGGGCCAGAGUGGUGUCAGCAUGGGGUUCACCAGGCAGCGUGGGAUUGGCGUGGGGAUCUGUCAUGGGCAGGGGCUCUGCCUCCCUGAGCCACCGCUUCCCACCCCUCCCUCGGGUCACAGCUUGGAGGGACAGCGUCAGGAGCAGGACAGAGGGGCCCUUCCAAGGGUGAGCCCCUGUCCACCCCGAAGACAUCCCAGGAGGAAGCCAGUAGACUGGGGCUGAGGUGAGGGUGAGCAGCUCGGGACUGGAGGGAGGAUCAGGGCACAGCUCGGCCAGGGGUGUCGUGAGCGCAGAGCCCGUGGCACAGCCGCGUGGGCAAAGGUGGCUGCGGGGAGGAGGGGCAUUGUGCUGUGGGGCCAUUGAGGCCUCGCUCUCCACCCUGCUCUCAGCCGGGGCAGCGUGGUGAGGAGCAUCAGGAGGGCAGCACCGCCGUCCAGGGGUCCCCUUCCCUCCCUGGGCCGGACACGGAGGGUACAGUAGUGAGGCCGAGGUGGACGGCUCGUCCAUCCCUCCCGGGCCCACCAUCCUGAGCCCAGCGCUUCAGCUUCCUCCAGCCUCGGCCCCUGGCCCUUGGCUUUUGAUCACUGAUUCUCCUUUGCAUCUCAAAGGUGCCCUUUCGCUUCCUAUUCUGCUCCCUCUUGACCCAGGCCAUCUGCAGCCCCCUGCAGAGGAAGUAGGACAAUGAGCCUGUUUUCCCAGCACGGCAGCGGCCGGCGCGGUGCGGACUUUGUUUUCCAGCCCUGCUGCGCCCCACUCUGCUCCUCCUGGCCAAGGUCCGGGCAGGUCGGCCGCCCUCGCCCCUGCUUUUGCCUCUGCUCUGGCAGCUUCUCUGGCCAAGCUGAAGGUCCCUGCACCUUCACACCUUCCCUGAUCUCAGCGUCUGGGGCGGGCUGUCUUCAGGCGUGUGUCCCCAGGCUGUCCCCAAAAUGUUCCCAGCUUGAGGUUUGUGUGGAGGGGGCGGGCUCAGUCCCCAGGGCAGCAGGACACCAGCGGACGGGGGACACAGAGGGAGGCCUCAGGGCCCGGGGCGGUGCCUGCUCAGUGAGACGCAGAGUUGGAGCCCAGAGGGCCCUGAGCUUUAGCACCGCCCUAAGGUGGGGCCUCCCCCGCCCAUGGGAGGGUGCCCGCUCCUCCCGGUGCCCAGCUGUGGCUGCCCGGUCUGUGCCCUCUGUGUGUCCCCUGCCCCCGGACUGCCGGAGCUCAGAAGUGAGAAGAGUGAAGAUGUGUUGUGUCCAUGUGCCACCUCCCUGUGAGGACCGUGAUCAUGACAUGCGGCAGACACCUGCUAAUGAGAAUAAAAAUUAAGGAAGAAAAGGAGCUGUUUCUCCCAGGCCUCCAUGCCCGGCAGGGAGGAGCUUCGUCCCCUGCAGAGGUGGAGCAGCUCUGGACAGGGACCAGCCCGCCCUGCCUCCCGUGGCCCCUGAGCCGACCGAGGGAGUGGACCCUGCCCCUCACGGUCUCUGCCCUUGGGCCCUGGCCGGUGGCUGUUCUGUCCUGAGUGACUGAGCAGCUCCACCUGCCUCCUGGUUUUUGUGCUUGGCCCUGGCUGUGUCCUGGGGAGGAGCCCUCAGGACUUCUGCAGAGGGAGGGGACGUCGGCAGGGCUGUCAGCUCCUCCACCCUUUCACAGAAGGACCCAGCCACACACACGUGAGACCUGGUGCCCUCCAGGGAGCAGAGCACAGAGACCCGGUUAAUCUGGGCCACCUCUGCGAGUGCAGAUGCCACAAAAAUCCCUGGGCUGCAGGGCUGGGGACCCGCGGGGCACUGAGCGCCCCCAUGCCGGGAGGAGGCUCAGCCCAGCUCUGUGGGGACCCCCAGACCCUGCCUGUGCCUCUCUUCAUCUGGCCGCUCCUUCGGGUCCAUGAGAUCAGAAACCGCAAACAUCGGCAUUUCGGGGGACUCUGUGAGCCGCCCUAGCAGCCUGCUCAAACUUGGGGGUCAAGGAGGCCCCAGUUUAUAGCUGGUCCACCCACAGUACAGGUGACAGCCUGCCACUGUCUUUGUCUGACGCUGGGGCCGUCUUGGGACAGAGCCUUCGCCAGGAGAAGUCUGAGUCUCAGGCCUGGCUCCUGGGUGCUCCCAUAACAGGUCCACAUUCUCUCUACUUUUUCAGGCACUCAGUCAUUCAACAAGUGGACCUGAGCAGCUCCCGGUGCCCAGCCCAGGGCCUGUGGAUCUCCGUGUUGGUUUUGCCAGAAUGCAGGAAAGACUUGGCUUUGCUGGGCCUCCAGGGGUUGCUGGCCAGUAGGAGGAGUCGCCUGGGGCCCGGGGAGGGGUCGGCUCUGACCUCGCAGGCCCAGGCUCCGCCCUCGCAGGCGCAAGCUCUGCCCUCCACAGGCGCAGCCUCGGCUCGCAGGGCGCAGGGCGACCUGGGGGUUCCUCCGCAGGCUCCCAGGGUCCCCAGGUCCGAAAGCGCUGGCCGUGGCCGUGGUGGGCCGCUUGCGGGGAACUCAGUAGAUCCCUGCGCCACAAAAAUAAAAUACAAGUGCAGAAAGUUUUAUUUUGUGAACACUUACCGUCUGCCUUCUGAAUAGUCAUCUCAGAAUACUUAAAAAUGGAAGAAAGUAAAAAUAAUGGUGAUUCUGCAACCCCACGGGGGCGUUUGCCAGCGCCCGGUGCCUUCCACCGCCGCCCCAGUGCAGCUGCUUGCGAGGUGCGGGGUCUCCUAGUGCCGCGGGGCCGGAGGGGCCCGCUGUUCUCUGUGUGGACCUCUGCAGGGUCGUCCCGGACCACACCGCCCUGGGCACGGGCCGGGGCCGGGGCAGGACAAGCCAGGGACAGACGCACCGACACAGGAUCAACCAUGGGGACCAAGGACAAACAAGCUCCGGGCGCUCAGCCUGUUACUCGGGAGGAGCAGGAUUUGGUGCUGACGCUGGCAGCAUGUGUACUAAAGCUGGAAUGAUACAGAGCUCACCACAGCUCCUGUGCAAGGAUGGAGUGCAAAUUCAUGACGCUCUCAGAGGGGGAGGGGGAGGGGGAGGAAGAAUUCUCCUUCUGGGCCGAUUAGGUCUUAAAAUAUUGGUUUUACUAUUAAAACAAACCCCCAAACAGAAACAAAAACCAAAACCUGAAACCACGUGACUCUUCACUUGGUAUGGGUAACUAAAAGCAGAAUAAAGCUUGACCUGCAGUUGGUAAAACUCUGGGCCAAGUUCUUCUUUGCUCUGCAUAGAGACAUUUUGGUCCUUUGGGAAGCAUCCAUCUAAAAGUUGGCAAAACAAGGUUUACUGGCCCCAGAUUCACCUCGUCCCCCUUUAAGACUGAGGACGGCAAGAGUACCACAGUAAGUUUCAGGAUUUGCCGGGACAGCCGAUGGCCAGAUUUUGCAACAUCCAAUUCCAGGCCUCCCUGGAAUGCCACCCAGUCUCCUGACCUGUCAUCAGCCCAGCUUCCAGGACAGGCAGAGCUGUACAGACUCCCCCACGAUGAGGCACCUGCUCGAAGCAAGAACACUAUUACAGCUGUCAUCAAAAAGUCAGAUUAUGCAUGUACUGAAGAUGUCCAGAGGCUGGACUCCUGCAUUCCAGCUGGAAAAUGGUCAGGCCAUUUCUCAAAAUGCUACCCAUGUAGUUGGUAUUUGACCCAGCAAUUCUGUUCAUUGGUAUCUAUCUGUGAAAAUGAAAACGUGUCCACACAAAACAUGUGCACAGAUGUUCAUAGCAGGAUUAUUCAGCAUGAGCAAAACAUGUAAACAAUCCAAAGGCCAUCAGCAGAUGAAUGGCUACACAAAAUGCAGUGUAUUCACACAGAGGGGGGCCAGGGAUUUAGCUCAGUGGUUCUGCCGCCUGCCUCGCAAGCACAAAGCCCUGAGUUCAAUCUCUGGUGCCAGAAAAAAAAAAAUCAAUUGUCACAUAGUGGGGUACUAUUUGGCCAUAAAGAGGGAUGAAGCAAUGCUAUAUACUAUAAUGGGGAUGAAUUUUGACAUUAUGGAGAGAUCCAGUCACAAAAGGCCACAUCUUGUAUGCUUCCCUGUAUGGGAAAUGUCCAGAAGAGGCAAAUCCACAGAAAAAGAGCGAGAUUAGUGGAUUCUAUCUAGGGUUGAAAGAAAACGGGGUUUGACUGCUAAUGAGUACAUGGCUUUCUGAGGUGAUGAAAAAGUUCUAAAUUUCAUGUUGGAGAUGUUUGCUUCAUCUGGAAGAACCUGUUGGUUGAGGCCACCACAUCCGGGGUGGUUCUUCCCUCCUCAGUUUCCAGCCUACCUGUCAAUCAUCCACAGACAUGCCCAGAGCUUUACUGAUCUCCUGGCCAGUUGUUUCUCCGUCACGUCUGCACUGACAUAUCGUAGUUAGCGAUCACAGAAGACUUAGUCUAAUCGGAGGUUGUGAGGAUUUACAUUGUUAUUUUCUUUUAAGACAGAGUUUUAGUUUUAACUCUUUCAAGUAGGCCUAUCAACCGUUCUGCAUUAGACUUCUAUAUGGGGCACUUUGAACAUGAUAUCUAGCUAUUUCAGCGCCAAAAGUUGGAAAGAAUGUCUCAUCCAUACUGAUUUGUUUUGGGGUUCAUCAAAAAUCAAUUAAGCUUGAAUAUAAUUUAUUUCUGGAGUCUUCAUUGCAUUCUGUUGAACUGCAUGCCAAGCUUUGUGCCAGUGCCGAAAAUGUCUUGACAUUUGUAGCUGUGUAUUGUGUUUUGAAAUCAGGGAGUGUGAGUCCUCCAAGUUUGAUUCUAUCUUUCAAAUUGGUUUUGCUGUUCUUGGUCCCUUGAAUUCUAUUUAAAUUUUAUGAUUAAUUUGUCAGUUUUUACCAAAAAAGCCAGAUGAGAUUGUUGACCAGAUAGCAAUGAAACUGUAGGUCAAUUUGGGGAACAUUAUCAUCUUAUAGCGUUAAGGCUUCCAAGGCCAGAAGCAUGAUGUUUUUCAUUUAUUUAAGACUUCUGGAAUUUCUUUCAAUAGUAUUUUGUAGUUCUCAAAAUACAAGUUUUACACACCUUCUGUUAAAUUUAUUCCUAAUAACUUAUUCUUUUUUGUUGUUGUUGUUGUUUGUUUGUUUUUGUUUUGUUACCAGGGAUGGAACGAGGGACCUUGCGUUUGCCAGGCAAGCGGCAGAACCACUGAGCUAAAUCCCCCGCCCUAACUUAUUCUUUUUGAUCUCAUUGCAAAUGUAAUUUUUCUUAAUUUCCUUUUAAGACCAUUCAUUUAAUAGUGCAUAAAAAUACAAAGACUUUUUGUAUAUUGAUUUUGUAUUCUGCUACCAUGCUAAUUCACUUACUCUCUUUUUUUCCAUCACAGUAGGAAUUGAACACAAGGCCCUCGCCCUGAACUACUUCCCCAGUUCUUUUUGUAUUUUUAAAUUUUGAGACAAGGUCUUGCUCAAUGUCACUAAGUUGCCCAGGCUGGCUUGAACCUGCAAUCCUCCUGCCUCAGCCUCCCAGAAUGCUAAGUUUAUAGUAUGAACCACCAUGCCCAGCGUACUUAUUAUCUUUGAUAAUAUUUUUUAGUGAUUACGUAGGAUUUUUUAUAUGUAACAUUAUGUUACCUGUGAGUAGAGUCUGGUCUUAUUUUUUCUCUUCCAAUAUGAAUUCUGAGUAUUUCUUUUUCUUGCCUAGUUGCUCUGGCAAGAACUUCCACUGCACUACUGAAUUAUAAAACAGCAGAAGCAGACAUUCCUGACUCGAUCCUGAUUCAGGAGGAAAGAAGGCAGUCUUUCACCAUAGGAAUGCUACGUGCUUUUCUCGGAUGAGAUUCAGAUUGAGAAAGUUCUUUCCUAUUCCUAAAUUAAUGAGUAUUUUUACCAUGAAAGGAUACUGGAUUUUCCCAGUGCAUUUCCUGCACUUAUUGAGAUGAUAGUGUGUUUUUUGUUUUUUGUCCUUUUUGUGGCCUUUCUAUUGACAACUUAUAUUACAUUAACUGAUUUUUGGAUGUUAAACCAACCACAAUGCUGGACAAAUUCCACCUGACUGUAUGUUGUUGGACUCAGUUUGCUAGUGUUUUAUUGAAGAUUUUUAUACCUAUAUUCAUAAAUGAUAAUGUUCUAUAGUUUUCUUUUCUGAAGGUGUCACAGGAUAAUGAUACAUCUGGCUUUGGUAUCAAGAUAAAGCUGGCCUCAUAGAAUGAGAAGAGAUUUUUUUCCCUUCUCUUUAAUUUUUUUUUUUUUUUUUUGGUACCAGGGAUUGGACUCGGGUCCUUGCGCUUGUGCAGCAGGCAGCGAAACUACUGAGCUAAAUCCCCGGCCCCCGUUCUGUUCAAUAUUUUGAAGAGUUUGUAAAAGUAGGUUUUAGAACUUAAAAGUAUUUUGGAGAAUUCACCAGUGAAGUUAUCCAGGCCUUUGUGGAAAAUAAUCACUAAUUUAAGUUCUUGUUAUAGAUCUACUUAGGUUUUCUAAUUCUUCCUGAGUCACUUUUGUCAGUUUGCAGUUUUCUAGAAAUCUAAUUUUGUCUACUUUGUUUGACUUGUUGGCACAUAGUUUUCUUCGUACUCUGUUAUAAGCCUUUCAUUUCUGUAAGAUUGGUACUGCUGUCUCCCAUCUUUAUUGCUAUACCUUAAUUUACUGUAUGAACCACCAGAAUGUAUUUGUUCUAUCUGCUGUGGGUAGAUAUAUGGGCAGUUACCUGGCCCAUUCUUCCAUUCUUUGGUUUCAUAACAAUUGUUCUUAUAUGCCAAGGACUCCUCUUUCUGGUGACAUUUCUUGGGAGCCUCAGGAUAUUGCCCAAUGAACUUGGCACAAAGAAACUUGGAAAACAUUUCUGCUUUCACCCUGGCCACACUGAAGGCAGGAUUGCUUCUGUCUUUGACCCUGAGAUCUUCCCAGAUCUGGCUGGCAUUCCAGGAUUGGCUUGUGGAACUGGACUUUGCACCUUGUCAGGCACAUGAAGGCAGUAAAUGUUCCUGAGUGUGCACAGGUGUGACCACAUCCCUAGAUGCUUCUGUGUGGGAGGCAUGGGGGAAGGUGGGGAACGUCCCGAGGUGGCGUCUGGUUGGAGGAAGUAGUCACUGGGGGCUGCCUUGUGAGGGUAUGUUUGUCCCUGGCCUCUGUGGCUCUCUUUCUGCCCCCUGGGCCCAUGAGCCGAGCUGCUUUGCUCCGCCUGGCCAUGGACCUCAGCAAUGCAACCAGUGAACCAUGACCUGAGCCCUGAAACCAUGAGCCAAAACAAGUCUUGCUUCUUUUAGGUUGAAUUCCUCAAGUAUUUUGUCACAGUGACAAAAAGCUACCAUGUUUCCUGACUAUAAUAUUCUCUGAUUAACUGACUCUAUCCUCAUGUUAUCACACACCUGACAAGCUUGUAAUAAGGAGAGCCGGAGUGGGGAGUUUUUGUUGCUUCUUGUGUAAGUUUUUUUUCCUGUAACAAAAUGCCCAAGGUAGCUAACUUGCUCAGUUCUGGAGGUUUUGGUCCAUGGUCAGGUGGGUUGCUGGUUUGUUGGUUUGUGUGAGGUAGGACAUCGUGGAGGGGACAUAUAACAGGGGAAUUUUUCACCUCAGGAUGCCAGAAACCAAAGGAGAAGAGGGUCAUCCUUCAGGUCACCCCAGAUGACCUAACUUGCUCCAGCUGGGCCCCACACCUUAAAGGUCAUACCACCUUCCAGUAGCACCAGGGACUGAGGACUGAGAUUGUCAUGGAAGGGCCUUUGGGGACAUUUAUCAGCCACGACACUUCUCAUCCGAAUCCCAUUGACCUUUGGAAGCUUUUCAUUAAUAGGCCUAAUAAUUAGCUAGAGAAAUUCCAGGGCCUGGACUUGUGGGCUCCCAGGGUGACCCCAGAAACCACAUGGGUUCCUCCAAGGAGUCAAAAUCCUAAAGUGCAUACAUUACUGCACAUAUGGUGGGGGAAGCUGGUUCUUUUUCGCUGUCCUCAAGUAUUUAAACAAUUUGUCAAAGCUUGGACUGGAAGGGAACAUUGAAAACCAGUGUACUUAGAGCAGGAAAAAUGCAGGGUGUGAGAGGAAACAUUUGUCCUCACAAUGGCCUUUGAGUAGGGGAGCCAAUUGGGCAGAAGAUGAAUUCUUCAAAUUUAAUGAAAUUAUUCGUGCAACAAAAGAAGGAAAUAAGAGCUGUGUAGGGCAUAUGUGAGAUUUCCUCUUCCUUUUACUGGACAUCUAGCAGAGUCCCGGGCUCUGGCUGGGCCUUUCUGGUUCCACAGCUCUCAACGCUGUCCUGGUACCAAGGCAACUCCCUCUGAAAAUGCUCAGUGAGGAGAGAACCUUCUUCCUGACCCUGAAUCCCUCCUUUGGACCUCUGUGUGUCACUAGAUUCCAACCCCCUCCCCUCGAUCUUCACUGGGUUCCACUUAUAUGCAUGUGUUUGUACAUUUGGGCACACAUGUUUUACACAUUUGACUGUAAGCUUCUAGCACUUUGUAAACCUAGGAGUCUUGCAUAUAAUAAAUAUUUGGUCACAAUUUACAGACGUUACUAUUAACUUUUUUUGGUAGUACUGAGGACCUGCAGAGGACGAUAGCAUUGAUUAUGCCCAAGGCAGGCUGUGAAGAGCCAACCCCACAGUCAGCUUGUUUAUAGAAGUGAGUCCGGCUGAAGCCUACGUGCUGAGGUCAGAGUAACUCGCACCCAAAUUCCUUUCCCACAACUACACCUUCAGACUAGAAGGACAGUGUUCUAAUCACAACCAUGUAUUUUGUCUAUUCUGUUCCUAACUUGAGAGUGCCAUGUCUUGUCCUUCACAAGCCUUGUUUACAUUAAUUUCCAUAGAAACCACUCAUAGCUCACCUUUACCCCAGUUGAUUGUCCAUAAAAGUCAGUGCCUGGGACUGGCCACUGCCUUUGUUGGCUGCACCAGCACUGGUUGUCCUGGCCCCUGAUUUCUCUCCUACUUCUGUCUCUUAGUGCAUUCUUUUCUCAGGCCUGCAUCACACACUGGCCAGGUGGGGACUGGAACCUGACCGCAGGGGUCUCCAGCAAGGAUCAAAGCCAGGUGCUCUGCCAGUGAACUACAUCCACAGCCCCAUUCACUUACUCAUUUAUUUAUGUAUUUAUUUAGUAUUUUGAGACUGAGUCUCACUAUGUUGCCCAUGUAGUACUGCAGAUAGGUAGGUUAAUUAGAUAUCUUGUAGGCAGUUAGACAGGGCCAGCCCACAAGGAGCCAACAUGGAGGAGAGUGAAGACACAUUCACUGAAGGCCAGCAUUGUAAAAGGAGAGAAAUUAGCCUACCCAUGUAAGAUGAAGAGCAGUGACUGAUGUUCUAAAUAGGUAUAAAUCACCUGGAUGGGGGGCCACGGUCUUACCCCAGC